UACGGAGGGAGCUAGCGUUGUUCGGAAUUACUGGGCGUAAAGCGCGCGUAGGCGGCUUUGUAAGUUAGAGGUGAAAGCCCGGAGCUCAACUCCGGAACUGCCUUUAAAACUGCAUCGCUUGAAUCCAGGAGAGGUGAGUGGAAUUCCGAGUGUAGAGGUGAAAUUCGUAGAUAUUCGGAAGAAAGCACCACGUGGGCGGAAGGACGG
rnacentral:rRNA from 1 species